rnacentral:rRNA from 1 species
AGUGAACGCUGGCGGUAGGCCUAACACAUGCAAGUCGAACGGCAGCACAGGAGAGCUUGCUCUCUUGGUGGCGAGUGGCGGACGGGUGAGGAAUACAUCGGAAUCUACUCUGUCGUGGGGGAUAACGUAGGGAAACUUACGCUAAUACCGCAUACGACGUACGGGUGAAAGCAGGGGACCUUCGGGCCUGGCGCGAUUGAAUGAGCGGAUGUCGGAUUAGCUAGUUGGCGGGGUAAAGGCCCACCAAGGCGACGAUCCGUAGCGGGUCUGAGAGGAUGAACAGCCACACUGGAACUGAGACACGGUCCAGACUCCUACGGGAGGCAGCAGUGGGGAAUAUUGGACAAUGGGCGCAAGCCUGAUCUAGCCAUACCGCGUGGGUGAAGAAGGCCUUCGGGUUGUAAAGCCCUUUUGUUGGGAAAGAAAUCCAGCUGGCUAAUACCCGGUUGGGAUGACGGUACCCAAAGAAUAAGCACCGGCUAACUUCGUGCCAGCCGCCGCCGUAA